CCCAGCAUACCCAAUUCACCCCUUUUAAUUCAAAACGACACUGUUCUUCGAUAAUUGAUCACAACCCUUGAUUGUUCCUCAUCCAACGGAUGGGAACUAAUGAGGUUCCAAGAAUAAGAGUCGAAGAUCCCCAUACCCCCCCAUCCGUCUCAUCUUCCACACAAGCCCUAAUCCCUUCGGAGACCAUAACCUAACGUCGCCACCCGAAAAUCGCCUCCAUCAGCGGCAACUCUCCAAUCCCUCUCCGAUUAACACCACAUACUCCUCGUAACCUCCUCUUUCCAAACCCAAACUCCCGUGGCUCGAAUCCCCGCCCUUAUCUUAGAAUCUUCCAAACAGUCUCGCCGCCUCCGCCGCCCAUGGGGACGACACCAUCCAAAGCCCUCCAAAAUUACACCACGGCAUCUCUUCACCGCCCUCUCUUUAAAUCUCUCAACCCUUUCCCCAGAAUCCCAAUCGAAAGUUUCGAAUUUUGAUUUGAAGUUUUGGCCAAAAUCCUAAAUUUUCCAAACUUCACCAAAUUGAUACCAUGUGAAUUCCUCACCUCCCUCGUUCCUAAUCUGUCAUCUGUGGUCCUCAAAUACCACUCAAGGUACUCGAAUUUCGAAUCUGAGAAGCGGUAGGUUUUGAGAGUUUACAUCAAAGAGUUUUCUUAUUUUUUUAUUUUUUUAUUUGAAUUAGUCUCUUCAUCUUGAUUGUUCUUCACGAUUAAUUAACUUAGGGUUUUGUUUCCAUUUUGAAUUAGUAAUUAAAUUAGUUCUUCACUGUGUGAUUUGUUGUUUGAUUAGUAGCAUGAGUUUGUACUUGUCAAUUUUUGUUAUGUUUGAUUUCUCUUGUUAAUCCAUAAUUAGUGUUUAGGUCUGUAAUUUUGUUGUUAUCUUAGUUUUAGUUUGAUAAUUUGAUUAGCGAUUCUGUAUGUUUUUCGAUUUUCUUUCUGUUUGCCAAUGUUAAUUUCUUUUUCUUUAUAAUGAUUUUGUUCCUUUUUCAAUUUUUUUGACUGCUAAUAGACGAUAAUGGUUGUUAUAUGAAUUUCCGUAGUUAUUUGAAUAUAGGAUUUGUGAUUGAAUUUGUUUGUGGGUUAAUUUGCAGAAUUAGUUAAUAUGGACCAUGGUUAGUUAGAAGGUUUAGGUUAGUUAACAGGGUUGGGGUGGGUUAGUAAUUUCAGGGUUAAUGCAGGAGAAUAAGGGUAGUUUACUCAGGGAAUAUUGUAGUAAUAGCUGCUGAAUGGAAUCCCCUAGAAUAUUCUAGAUGAGGUUCAAUUUAGAGGUCUAUGAAAUUUGGUAGUAUAACUUGGAAAACAAGUCAACUCUUUAGGGACACAUAAGCAAAAACGAAAAUUUAAAAAUGGUUGUAAUGCAAAAUAGAAAAGAUGAGGGUUGCCCUCACUUAUGCCUAUAAAAGACAUGUCUAGUGCCUUAAUUGAGAAGUUUUCAGUCUCUAAAAACUCCCCCCAAAAAGUAUUCUACAAUUUCCACAAGUUGAAAUUUAAAUUUCAGAUCCACAAACUAGAUAUGAAAUUUGAAAGCUCUUCUAGAUCUAAAAACUCUUCAAAAAAACAGCACAAAAAAACUCAAAAAUACUACUUAUCCAUUGAGGUCUCUUUAUUCUAGCUCAUCUGAACCCAAAUAGCUUGAAUAUUCCUAGUUUUGGUCAGUAAUUAAAGUUUAAAAGUUUUGUAGUAUUCUUCGAGUUGAAUUUGGUUUAGUUCGAGUUAGUUGUUUUGGUUAUUCGCUGAUGGUUUAGCUGCUGGGUUGAUUUUGGGUUUUGUGGAGCCAUUCUAGUUCUAAAAUUGCUCGUGCUUUCAUUUGAAUCUACUGCUAGUUGUUCCUGGAUUUGCUAUGGUAUUUUGGAGUCGAAAUUGAUCUAGCUGUUUUGCAUUUGGGCUGCUGUUAGCUACUGUUUUAGCUAACCUUCCUCUUCUCACUUCUAUUCUAUUUUCAGGUAUAUUCUUAUGCUCAAGUGAUGCUGAAGAUUAUAUCCACUUGUAGAAAACCAUUUUGAAGUUUAAAUGAUGAGGAAAUGCAUGUUUACACCUGGACCUUUUAUCUUUAUUGUUUAGUUUAGAAAUUUAGUUUGAUUGAUUUACUUGAACCAUAUUUCAAUUGUAUUAAUGAGACUGCGGACUGUACUGGAUUGAUAAACUUUGAGUUCGAGCUUAUUCACUUUAAAAUAGUAGCCUUAGUGUAGUAUAGUUUAAUUUAUUAUGAAGUUGUGUUUUUAAAACUUGAAACUGAGCUUGAAAAUCAGCAUGUAGGCUCUUAUCCAUGAUAAGUCCACGCCUGAUAAUCGUUUUUUCAAUAAUGACUCCAAUAGUUUAGUUCUGAAAUUAAAGGAUAUGCGUUUGAGCUUAAGGCCUAAAUAUAAAUGUUGAUUGUUUUGUAUUAAUUCCUUGAAUUCUAUGAGCAUUAGGCAGAAUCAAAUAAUCAGUAGCUUGUUUUAGUUUGUCAUUAAAAUAGGAUCUCAAAACAAAUUAGUUAACUUGCUAUUUUACCGCUAUUAGAUAGGUGAGUUGGAUCAUUUAGACUCAAAUUUAUGCUUCAUCUCUUGAACUGAGUUAUUACUGCUGCUGAAAUCGACUUAAUUAGUAGGUUGAGUUUCAAUUUGAAAAAUAAUGCCUAGACUACCUAGGUCAUAAAUUUAGGCC
rnacentral:lncRNA from 1 species